UUUUUUUUUUUUUUUUUGGCCUGGGCCAGGGAUGGAACCUGUGCCACAGCAGUGACCUGAGCCAUAGCAGUGACAAUGCCAUAUCCUUAACUGUUAGGCCACCAGGGAACUCUGUAAAAUAUGGAUGGUAGGGAUUAACCUAUAUUAAAGUCUUACUCUGCUUCCAAUGAUAUUUUAAGUAGCUUGCACAUUAGAGGAUAUGGAAUCUCAACUACUUAAGGGGUGGGUGUGCUUUUACUAUCCCCAUUUUAUAGAUGAGGAAACUGAGGUCCUGAGGUGAGGCACUGAGAUUAAGAGGUUCUCCCAGUGGUGCAGAACUUGUUCAUGGUGGCGCCAGCAUUGAAAUCCUAGCAGUCUGGUCAGGGCCCAUAUUCCUGACCACCAGGCAUCACUGGUUAAUUGGGCAGGUGUUGGGUGAGCACACUGCCAGGCCUGGGAGUCCAAGGCUCACUGUUCUAGAGCCAGGAUCCGAGUAAUCAGGGACAGAUGGACAGUAGACAGGGUGUGUGUGGCCUGCCCUUACCACCCUGAGGCAGCCACUGUCUGUAAAUAACAAUUUGGGGAGUUUAAUUAACAGCCUACUUGCAGGAAUGCCAAGAACAAAGGGAACUCCAUGGGUGAAAGACUUGAGGGUGAAAGUCAGAACUGAGGGGCCAUCUUUGCCAUCUUUCAAGCUGCUAUAAAUGGCAACAGGCAGAAUGAACUGGCCCAGUUUUAGCAGAAGGGUGAGCUACAUUAAUUACACAGAUGGAUCGCUUUGCUCAGAAAGGGCCAGUCGAUGGUUUGAUGUAGUAACUUCUGCAACCAUAAAAUCAGGAGAUGUAUGGCCAUCUCUGUGCUAAAUGGGACCCUGAAAAGAUUAACCUCACAUAGGAAGUGAAAAUGAUAUGCAUGCAUUUCACCAAGUGGGGGAAACUCCUCAUGGUGCUUGAUUUCAUGCCAAAGAUGCUGGAUUCAAAUGUCAAAUGACAGCAAAGUGUUCUUGAAAGAUGACCUAAGGAGAAGUGCUGGAUUCUGAGAUGCAGAAGAUUAGAAUUUGAUGUCAGUGCCUUGAAGAGGUCCCUGAAUACAUAAGCUUUAAGGAAGGGAUGGGGUUGGGGGUUAUGUUUAUUUUACAGUCAAGAUGUAUGUUCAGGGAGUUCCUGUUGUGGCUCAGUGGUUUAUGAACCCGACUAGUAUCCAUGAGGACAUGGGUUCGAUUCCUGGCCUUGCUCAAUGGGUUAAGGAUCUGGUAUUGCCUGAUCUGGGCUGUGGUAUGGGUAGCAGACGCCGCUUGGAUCUGAUGUUGCUGUAGCUGUGGUAUAGGCCAGCAGCUACAGCUCCAAUUUGACCCCUAGCCUGGGAACCUCCAUAUGCUCUGGGUGUGGCCCUAAAAAGACAAAAGACAAAAAAAAAAAAAAAAAAAAAGACGUAUGUUCAAAGCAAGUGCAUUUCAGUACCAUCAAUCCAACUGCAAGCUUUGUGACCUUCUUCCUGUCCCAGAAGAGGGUGAGAGUGAGGCCAGUCAGGAGGGCAGGUCAGGCUGCUGUCCUCUGGGUAAUCUCCCCUUACCCCCUCAUCUGCCUUACUCAUUGGGCCUGCAAUGUGGGCUGUGUUUCUACAAGCUUCGUGGUGUCCACUUUGGACAGGUAGCUGCAGGGAGGCUGGGUGAGUACAGGAUUUCUAGUAUGAAGACAGGUUUCAAAUUGCAGCUCUGCUACUGGCUAAUGAUAUGAUGUCAGGUGAGUCAAUACCUCUGAAUCUCAGUUUAUUCAUUGGUGAAAUGGGAUAAUAAUCCCCUACAAAAAUGUUGCAAGGAUUGAGGGAGUGACAUAUGAGAGCACCCACAAGCUACAAGCACCGUGAAAUGCUAGCUUCUGUAGUUAGCAGAAUUUCGAGGCAUAAUUGACCCGACAGCCUUCUUUUACCUCCAGUCUUUCAUGUCCCCCCUUUAUUUUGUUCAUUUUUACUAUUUUUUCUUGCACUAAAAUACACACACAGAAAAUCUACCAUUGUAACUAGUUUUAAGUGUACAUUCGGGGGUAUUAGAUAUAUACACAGUGUUGUACAAUCGCCACUAUCCAUUUCCAGAACUAUUUCAUCAUCCCAGACUGAGACCCAGUAACUUAAAUAAUAACUCUCCUUCUCCCCUCUCCUCAGCUCCUAGUAAUCUCUGUUCCACUUUCUGUCUAUGUGAAUUUGCCUCUUCUACAUAUUUCAUAUAAAUGGAAUCAUAUGAUAUUCAUUCCUUUAUCUAGCUUACUUCACUUAGCAUUAUGUCUUCAAGGUUUAUCCAUAUUGUCACACCAGUAAGAAUUUCCUUCCUUUUCAAGACUAAUUAGCAUCCCAUUGUAUGGAUACACUACAUUUUGUGUGUGUAUUCAUCUGUCAGUUCUUGUUCCUAUCUUUUGACAAUUAUGAAUAAUGUUGCUAUGAAAUUACAAGUGUCUGUUUGAAUUCCUGCUCUCAGUUCUUUUGGGUAUACAUCUAGGAGUGGUAUUGCUGGAUCAUAUGAUAAUUCUACAUUUAAAUUUCUGAGAACUUCCAAGCCUUUCCACAGAAACUGCACCAUUUUUAUAUUCCUACCAGCAAUGUAUGAGGGUUCCAAUUUCUCCACAUCCUCACCAACACUAGUUAUUUUCCUUUUUUAAAAAAUAAUGGCCUCCUAAUUUUGCAAAUGGUAACCCCAUUUGCUUUGAAGGGCAUCAGUUAUACCUCCAUGUGGUGAGAAACUCCAGAGUUGAUAAGGUUGCCUGUCUACCUAUGGAACUCUGGAGUAUCAGGGGACAUAUCUGGCACCAGGAUUGCUUUUUGCAAAAGUUUUUAAUCCAAGGCAAAAUGGUUGGGUGUUCCCAUUGUGGCUCAGUGGGUUAAGAACCUGACAUAGUCUCCAUGAGGAUGUGGGUUAGAUCUCUGGCCUUGAUCAGUGGCUUAAAGAUCUGAUGUUGUUGCAGGCUGUGGUGCAGGUUGCAGAUGCAGCUUGAAUCCAGUGUUGCUGUGCCGUGGUGUAGGCUGGCAGCUGCAACUCCAAUUUGACCCCUAGCCCAGGAACUUCCAUAUGCUGCAGGUGUGGCCCUAAAAAGGAAAAAAAAAAAAAGUUUUCCAGGGAGGAACUGGGAGAAGAGCUGGAGACAACAGUCACUUGACCAUUCUGUCCAUCUGUUCAUUUAUUCAUCCAUUCAUUUUUUCACGUAUUCAUUUAUUCUACAAAUAUUUAUCAAAUGCCUAUUUUGUAGGGAGCCAAGAGGAAUUGUGCCCAAUGCUGUGGCAACAAGACUUUAAAAUCCACAACACCAAGAAUUGGAAGAGACCUUAAGAAUCUGCCUAGCCAAGCAUGUACCGCACUCAGCAAUGUUUCCUAAGAUGUGAGAGAGAGAGGAAUGAAGCUCAAGUUUCCAAGUCGGUGAUCAGUCAGCGAAGAUGUAGCCCAAGCUGUGAGUCAAAACUCCUCAGACUUGCAGGAGAAUGGGUUUAAAACGAGGGCAAGCAUCUGUAAGGAAGCUCUCUCUUUUCUUACGUCUCACCAAACAGUCCAGUCACUUGAUAAGCCAGUGGGAUUUGAACACAAUAAAACAAGUGUCAAGAAAACCUGAUUAGAUAAGGCUUGAGUACUCACACAGUCCUUAUAUUGUGAUAACCUCCCUCCCAAAUGUCACAGUCAGGCUGUGUGCGAUGGGAGAUACUACUGACUUGGAAUUUGAAAGUCAGGCAGGAGUGUGGGUAUUUGAUUUCAAUCUGGGAAAAUUCCAAUGGACUAAAUGCAGAGGACUUAUGAAUACCAUCCUAUCCAGAUAACUGGAUUUCAUUGACAAACACAGACUUAUUUUCUAGCUCAAACUGGGAUAUUUCAACUAUAUUAAAAGGCAGAGAGAGAGAGUUCCCAUUGUGUAUCAGAGGUAAUGAACCCAAUUAAUAUCGAUGAGGACACAGGUUCUAUCCCUGGCCUCGCUCAGCGGGUUAAGGAUCCAGUGUUGCUAUGAGCUGUGGUGUAGAUCGCGUAUGUGUCUCAGAUCCCGUGUUGCUGUGGCUGUGGUGUAGGCUGGCAGCUGUAGCUCUGAUUCGACCCCUAGCCUGGGAACUUCCAUAUGCCCCAGGUGCAGCCCUAAACACACACACACACACACACACACACACACACACACACACACACACACACAAACAGUUUGGGAUUUGAACCAAAAUGGUCUAGUGUCAAAGCCCAUAGUUUUGAAGAGGCAUCACACUGCCUUCUGAGACAUGACACCUGAGCUCAGAUCCCAGCCCCCAGCAAGGCUGAGCAGGGGAGACUUGUUCUGAGAAAAGGGGGCAGUAACUUGAAAUUUAAAAUAAUAUUAAGAAAAAAAAGGCAGAGAGAAAGAGAUGGAAACAGUGGUUUGAAUGCAACUCAGAGUUUCCACAUGUAUGUUUAUUUGACUCUGGUUAACAUGUAAGCCUCAAGAGUCUAAAAAUAAGCUGGACUCAUAGCACUAUAUCUUGUAUACCCUCCAAAGCCACUCAGAAGUGCAAGAUGGGCCUCAACUACUUUAUCAGGGAGAGGGCAGAUCUGGGUGGAGCUUUGCAGGAAGAGCUUCCCAAUUUUUGUGACCAUGACCACAGUGUCCAAGAUGAUGGCAGGCAAGUAAGAUUAAAUACCAUUGCACUAACCUUGGGUGCCAAUAACCCUCAUUUCCAUUCCUUCUGUAUUCUGGGUUCUCUACAUCAUUUAGUAUGAUUUUACUACCAUUUUUAUGUGCAUGGAAGUACUUCAGGGAAGUAAUUAAUGUCUUAAAUAUAUGUCAGGUCUUUCCAUGUAGGAUGGUUAGGUUCAGAAUUAUUCUGUUGGGUGCUGCAAAGCCCUUCAUUGUGUCCAGGUUCUUGUGCUUAUAGAGCAGGAUGCUGGAAUCUUAAAAAGAAGCAGAAUAUUGAAGACUAAAGAUCUCUCUGAAACUCAGUGAGUGAGGAGGAUUCAGUUGGGGCUCAAGUCAUCUUUGAUCCCUAACUGCCCUAAUUGCCUUCUCUUCCCAACCCUGGACCCUCCUGGGAAGCCCUUCCCAACUCUGAUCUCUUCUCUUUUUGCCUGUGGCGUAGCACCUUGAGCUGCUCCACUAUGUUCUUGGCCUGGCCUCAACAUCUAAAUAUUCACCCCCUCCCAUCAGCCUAGCCCUGUCUUAGAUUAAUCCCACUGCAGUGACUGUGCCUAAUCUCCUUUAAUGUGUUGUCAAAGGUUCCUAACAUCACAAGUAUUUUAAAAGAAGGGGCAAGGCAUUGGUUACAUUUAACGUGAAAUUAAACAUCAUCCUGUCACAAAGCAUCCCACUAAAUGAGAUUACAGUCCAAAAACUAACACAGGAUUCAGUGCAGGUACUAAAAGAGGUUAUGGAAAAUAUAUGCUAUGCAAACACCUAUCUAAAAGGAAUUAGUGAGGAAAUUGUUUUUUGAGUUUUUUUUUUUUUUUUUUUUUUUUUUAGGCCCGAACCCACAGCACAUGGAAGUUCCCAGGCUAGGAAUCCAAUCAGAGAUACAGCUGCCAGCCUAUGCCACAGCCAUAGCAACACAGCAUCCAAGCCACGUCUGAGACCUACACCACAGCUCACAGCAACAUUGGAUCCUUAACCCACUGAGUGAGGCCAGGGAUCAAACCUAAAACCUCAUGGUUACUAGUCAGAUUUGUUUCCAUUGCGCCACAAUGGGAACUCCAAGGAAAUUGUUUGAUUUUUAAAGUUUGCUUCCCGGAGUUCCCAUCGUGGCGCAGUGAUUAACGAAUCCGACUAGGAACCAUGAGGUUGGGAGUUCGAUCCCCGGCCUUGCUCAGUGGGUUAAGGAUCCGGCAUUGCCGUGAGCUGUGGAGUAGGUUGCAGAUGCGGCUCGGAUCCCACGUUGCUGUGGCUUUGGCGUGGCUACAGCUCCGAUUAGACCCCUGACCUGGGAACCUCCACAUGCCCCGGCAGCGGCCCGAGCAAAAAAAAUUUUUAAAUAAAAAAAAUUAAAAUUAAAAUUAAAAAAAUAAAGUUUGCUUUCCCAGUUUUAUUGAGAUAUACUUGGCAUAUAAUAUAGUAUUAUUUUUUAUGUGUACAACACAUUGAUUUGAUAUAUGUAAAUAUUAAAAAAUUAUGACCACGCCACAAUGGGAACUCUGAGGAGGAACUCUUUUAAGGUAACCUCUGAGUCUCCAGCCACCCAUUCAGUCUUGAGAAGUCAGUUGUCUGGUCAGAGUAUGGAGAGGGAACCUGAGCCUGCGUGGUUCAGUUCUUCCUGGUUCUUCCCUGUUCCAGAUCUGCCUGCGGACACAGCCAGUCCCUCCUGUGCUCCAGCAGUCUGAGGGCCAGCCCUGUGGGAAGACCUGCCGAACUCUUGGCCGUGGCAGAGGCCAAGUGUGCACACAACCCUUAGGCUGCAGAUCUGCAACCACACUCACAGCCAGCUAGUUUGUAAUAAAGUAGACAUGUGGAUCUCCAACCAUUGACUGCCUGCAUCUUUCUGUGGAUUUUGAAUUCAGGUGGAGAAGAUGGGUUUUAUGUGUGAGCCCUCUAAUUCCCAAACAGCUUCAAUAUUCAGAGCAAACCCUUUACCUUUCUUUAUUCUCAUCACUCCCCUGCCCCCCACCAUCCAACACGCACACAGGUACAUUUCCCUUUCCUGUUUUAAAGUCAUCAAGCUCUGCUCUCUUCCUCUCCAGGUUCUGAGCAACUACAACAUCUGACUGGGUGAUCUGGCCUGGAAGGACUUCUGGCUUUCAUCUGCUCGGGGCAGGGGAUGGUGGGGGCGCAGAGCAUAUCCCUGGCUCAGACAAUAUGGUAGCGCCUCUCCCACUGGGCUGACGGAUGGGACAUCACUGAACCCGCUUUCUGAAGAAAGACCCUUCAGGUUCUCGGGAGUUGCCUCCUCUUUGUCAGGCCCAACCUCCUUUCCAUUCAAGAUUCCUGGGGCCACUUCCCUCAAUCUUGACACUGAGAGCCUUGCUCGGCCCAGGGAGGCUCGGUCAUUUAUAAAACACAAGGAUAUUUUGGCAGGAAACUAACUACCAAGGAAACAACACUGUCUCCAAAAUCAGGUCAAUGUGGGGUCAGAUAAGCACAGCCAGGAAUGUUUAAGUAUCUGCAGGAGCUGGUUCCACAAUCUUGUCUGUCUCAUGUGGGAGCCUGGGGACACUGAUGAUUUUCUGACAGUUGCCAGAACCCGGGGCUCUGUUAGAGAUAGGAGGUGAAUGCUGAGUAUUCCCCUCAUGAUGGUGGGAAAGGAGAAUUCAUUCCCGUUAAAUAUGUGGUACCUGACACCAGUGGCCACACUGCUCGGGAAAGAGCUCCAAGUUAGCCCUCCCAGCUCCCCAGCCCUCAGGCUUGUUGAGGCCUUCUGAGUAUAUUUCUUAAGGUGUAAAUGAGGUCACAGAGCGUGGCCAGGGCACCCAUGCAGUGGUGUAUGUGAUGACACCCCAGGAGUGGUGCUGUGCCCAGCCAGAGAGGUGUGCAACAGCCCUGGGGUCCUGCAGAGACAAGCAGGUCCCCAGUGAAUGGCUUUUUGGGGAAAUUUUGCAAUAGUCUGGGCUGGAUUAUCAGUUUCAGAGAUUUAUCCACUUCAUUUAUGAGGGAAAUAGAGGCCUCUCUUAAGGAAGGGACAUCUUAGCCAUGUUCAGGGGGCUGCUGUGAUCCAAAAUGGGAACUACACACACCACGAGGGAUAGAGCCAAUAUUCUCUAAUAGCUAUAAAUGGAAUAUAAACUUGAAAAAUUGUGAAUCACUAUAUUGUACAUGUGCAAUUUAUAUAAUUCUGUACAGAAAUUAUUAAAGAAAAAAGAAGAGUUCCCAUCAUGGCUCAGCAGAAACAAAUCUGACUAGUAUCCAUACAGAUGCAGGUUCAAUCCCUGGCCUUGCUCAGUGGGUUAAGGAUCCGGCAUUGCCAUGAGCUGUGGUGGAGGUUGCAGACACAGCUUGAAUCUGGUGUUGCUAUGUCUGUGGUGUAGACCAGUGGCUACAGCUCUGGUUCGACCCCUAGCCUAGAAACUUCCAUAUGCUGAGGGUGCAGCCCUAAAAAAAAAAA
rnacentral:lncRNA from 9 species